rnacentral:rRNA from 1 species
AGAAGUUUGGAAAAACUCAUCAUAGAAGGUAAUAAUCCUGUAGUCAAAAUAAUAAUUCUUUAGGUAUGAUCCAGAGUACCACGGGACACGUGAAACCCUGUGGGAAGCAGGAGGGACCACCCUCCAAGGCUAAAUACUACCUAGUGACCGAUAGCGUAUAGUACCGUGAGGGAAAGGUGAAAAGAACCCCGGGAGGGGAGUGAAAUAGAACCUGAAACCCUGCACUUACAAGCUGUGGAAGCACAUUUCUUGUGUGACCGCGUACUUUUUGUAGAACGGGCCAACGAGUUACGUUAAGUAGCAAGGUUAAGCACUUAAGGUGCGGAGCCGUAGCGAAAGCGAGUUUUAACUGAGCGUUCAGUUACUUGACGUAGACCCGAAACCGGGCGACCUACCCAUGAGCAGGAUGAAGCGAAAGUAAAAUUUCGUGGAGGUCCGAACCCACGAGCGUUGAAAAGCUCGGGGAUGACUUGUGGGUAGCGGUGAAAUUCCAAUCGAGCCCGGAGAUAGCUGGUUCUCCCCGAAAUAGCUUUAGGGCUAGCCUCAAGGUGAGAGAUACGGAGGUAGAGCACUGAAUGUCCUAGGGGGUAUUGCACCUACCGAAGACUAUCAAACUCCGAAUGCCGUCAUCUUAUACUUGGGAGUCAGACUGUGGGUGAUAAGAUUCAUAGUCGAAAGGGCAACAGCCCAGAUCGUCAGCUAAGGUCCCUAAAUGUAAGUUAAGUGGUAAAGGAUGUGGGAUUGCACAGACAACCAGGAUGUUGGCUUAGAAGCAGCCACUCAUUCAAAGAGUGCGUAAUAGCUCACUGGUCGAGUGAUCCUGCGCCGAAGAUUUCCGGGGCUAAAACUUACUACCGAAGCUACGGCAUCAGUAAUGAUGGGUAGGGGAGCUUCCCAUACGGGUUGAAGCAUGACCGUAAGGACAUGUGGACAGUAUGGGAGUGAGAAUGUUGGCAUGAGUAGCGAGAUGUGGGUGAGAAUCCCACAGGCCGUAAACCCAAGGUUUCCAGGGGAAGGUUCGUCCGCCCUGGGUUAGUCGGGACCUAAGCUGAGGCCGAAAGGCGUAGGUGAUGGACAACAGGUUGAUAUUCCUGUAC